rnacentral:rRNA from 1 species
UACGUAGGGGGCGAGCGUUGUCCGGAUUUAUUGGGCGUAAAGAGCUCGUAGGCGGUCUGUUGCGUCUGCUGUGAAAACUCGGGGCUUAACCCCGAGCCUGCAGUGGAUACGGGCAGACUAGAGGUAGGUAGGGGAGAAUAGAAUUCCCGGUGUAGCGGUGAAAUGCGCAGAUAUCGGGAGGAACACCGGUGGCGAAGGCGGUUCUCUGGGCCUUACCUGACGCUGAGGAGCGAAAGCGUGGGGAGCGAACAGG